GCGGUGUAGUCAAAAAUAACCGUAGACAGCUUUCCAAGCUGAUAACGAGGGUUCGAUUCCCUUCACCCGCU
rnacentral:tRNA from 1 species